GCCAGCGUGGCGUAGUGGGUUUGAGUGUGAGACUACAACUCUGUAGAUCCUGGGUUAGAUUCCCAGCUCAGCCA